rnacentral:rRNA from 1 species
CAGUAGCCGCGGUAAUACGUAGGGUGCAAGCGUUAAUCGGAAUUACUGGGCGUAAAGCGCGUGUAGGCGGCUCGAUAAGUCUGCUGUGAAAGUUCAGGGCUCAACCCUGAAAUGCCGGUGGAAACUGUCGAGCUUGAGUCCGGAAGAGGCAAGUGGAAUUCCUGGUGUAGCGGUGAAAUGCGCAGAUAUCAGGAGGAACACCAAUGGCGAAGGCAGCUUGCUGGGACGGUACUGACGCUGAGACGCGAAAGCGUGGGGGGGCAAACAGGAUUAGAUACCCCAGUAGUCCCUGUCUCUUAUA